rnacentral:rRNA from 1 species
UACGAGUACCCCGAGCAUUAUCCGGAAUUAUUGGGCGUAAAGGGUGAGUAGGCGGUGCAAUUAGUCGUGUGUUAAAUCCCAGAGCUUAACUUUGGAUUCGCACACGAAACGGUUGCUCUAGAGAAUGUGAGAGGUGAAUGGAACUCAUAGUGUAGGGGUGAAAUCCGUUGAUAUUAUGGGGAACACCAAAUGCGAAGGCAAUUCACUGGCACAUUUCUGACGCUCAAUCACGAAAGCGUAGGUAGCGAAUGGG